CAAGUCGGACGGGCCGCAAGGCCAGUGGCGCAAGGGUGGGUAAGGCGAAGGUAACCAACCCCGCGGAUGGGCAUAGCCGGGGGAAACCCCGGGUAAUUCCCAGCGACAUGACGACCCGGCAUCGGGAUGUCAUCAAAGAUUCAUCGCCGCGGGACGGGCCUUCGUGGUAUUAGCUUGUUGGCGGGGUGACGGCCCACCAAGGCCGCGAUGCCUACCGGGCGUGCGAGCGUGGCCCGGCACACUGGGACUGAGACACUGCCCAGACUCCUACGGGAGGCUGCAGUCGAGAAUCUUCGGCAAUGGGCGCAAGCCUGACCGAGCGACGCCGCGUGGAGGACGAAGGCCCUCGGGUUGUAAACUCCUGUCGAGGGGGAGGAAGGCGCAAGCUUGACCGAUCCCUGGAGGAAGCACGGGCUAAGUUCGUGCCAGCAGCCGCGGUAAGACGAACCGUGCGAACGUUAUUCGGAAUCACUGGGCUUAAAGCGCGUGUAGGCGGGCCGCCCCGUCGGCUGCUGAAAUCCCCCGGCUCAACCGGGGAAGUGGCACCGAUACGAGCGGCCUCGAGGGGGGUAGGGGGGUCU
rnacentral:rRNA from 1 species